rnacentral:lncRNA from 1 species
AUCUGGUACAUUUGCCAGGGUGUUAACAACAUUUAAACCUCUGAGCACAUAAUAUAAGAACAUGGCCCUAGUGACAGUGAUAUCCGAGACAUGAGAGCAAGAUUGGAUGUUAGCAUGAGAGAAUGCCAUUCAAUACUAUGCCAAGGGCGUCAUAUCAGCUCUCUUGAUGUGCACAACUGCACCACUCUUAUUUCUACGAAAACGCCCUCCAGGCACGCACAACAUAGUCUAUAUAUUCUGGUUCCCUCCUAUUGUUUUAAAUAGUCUUGAUCCUCUUUCCAGAUGAGGAAGCCAUCCC